CGGGAAGUGGCGCAGCUUGGUAGCGCACCUGCUUUGGGAGCAGGGGGCCGCGGGUUCAAAUCCCGCCUUCCCGA
rnacentral:tRNA from 1 species